AUUUUUCCUCGAAAUUAAUCAAAAAUUAUAACAAAAUUGAAUUAAUAAGAUCUGAAGUGGCGCCACUGUGCGAGGAGUAAUCGCCUUAAUUUUCUAUUAUGUUCUUUACAAACCUCUUUUCAUAGUAGGCAUUUUUUUCUUUUGACCGAACACUGUCAAAUUUUAUUCAUCACGAAAGUAACCCACGUCCAGUGUACAAUUAGACGUGCUGCUAUUCAAAUUAAAAAAUCCUCUUUGAUACUAAGAUUUUGAGAUCAUUAAUAGUAUGACACAUAUGUGCUUACUUACUUAUAUGUCAUAAAAUUAAUGAUCACGAAUUAUUUAAUAGUUUCCAGAAUUCUAUUCUAAAACAUUUUAAUUCCAUAUAAACAAAAAACAAUAUUUCAAAUUCGUUGUCGAAAUUUUAUUCGACAAUAAUCAUGGUUGACUUGAAGGAAGAAAAGGUCCCUCCACAAAUUGUAUGCUGUGUUCCACAGAAUACGGAAAUAGCACUCACUCGCCCCGUGCCAGACGAGUGGCGCCUGAAAACGACCAUUUGGAUGUUGUUGAUUGCUCUCCUGCUAUGGGUCAUCACCUAUAUGCUUACUGUCAUCGCUUCAAUGUAUUUCAACUACGGCCUUCGCUACGGCGCCCACUUCAGAACCAUAUUGUAUUAUUUCUACAACAACAACACCUCGCCGGCCACUGAUGAUAGCACUAAAUAUGUUUAUUUGUCAUGGUAAAUUCAAAAUCAUUCCUUUUAAUAAAACUUUUCAAUUUGA